GAUUACAAGCUGGUUUGGCCAGGUGAACAGAAGACAAGUCCAGUAACAAUAGCAAUUAACGAAGAUGAAACGUACAAAGUGUGUUUCACAAAGGAAUCUGCAGCCAAAGGAGUUCUCACCAUUCUUAUACAGGGAGGAGUUGGAGUGGGCAAAACUAGUUUGUGCAACACUCUAACGCGUCUCUUUAAAGCGUCUGUUGGUAAUGAAGUUCUCUCCCGUGGUCAGUCUGCUACCCAAUUCCCUAACGAGUGUAGCCAGAAAACAAGAAAUUUAAGGAAAUCUUUUGAAAAGAAGUUGAUACCGCAAUGUACUGACCGAGGCGCUAAACCCAAGCUGGUUUGGCCAGGUGAACAGAACACCAGUCCAGUAACAAUAGCAAUUAACGAAGAUGAAACGUACAAAGUGUGUUUCACAAAGGUAGUUCCCAUAAAAUAUCAAAUUAAUUGUCUAAUAGCCCUGAUAGAAGACCCGGAAGACGCAGAUUUUCCUCCCUCCCUUCAGGUUUUU